CGAGGCGAGGCCUGCGGAGCGGACUUCCUAGCAUGGGCUGUUGUGCUGGAGAGAACGAGAGCUACGAAGAGACUACAGUGCCUCUGACUUUUUCAUAGGACAGUUGGCCGAGGAAGACAAACAUAAAGAUGAAGUGCUUAAUUCAAGGUCACACAAUGUCGGGGAUGGACCUCCAGAUUUCCUUACUGACCUGCAUUAUCUUGUGGAUACCUGAGUGAAUUCCACACCACCCAUUUUAUAGAUGAAACCACUGAGACAUGGAGCAAUUGACUGAGUAGUCACUGCCCCACCCCUGCCUGGAGCCUCACACAUGACUCGCCUCCUCUCAGUGACCACAGGAAAACAAGCUCAGGGCUCCCACUGAUUGUACAUUAUGGUGAGACGUGGUCUUGUAACACAGUGGUUAAGAAUGUGACUUUGGAGCCAGCCUGCUAGGGGCUGAAUUCUGACUCAGCCAUUUACUAACUGUGUGACCUUAGGGAGGAGGACCUGGUUGAUAGAAGAAUUUAUCUCGUAGUCUUAACAUCCACUGUAAUUCCAAACUUUGAGGACGAUAGAGAUCAGUGGGCUUUGACUGCCCAGCAUGCAGUCUCCAUUCUUAGGUGGGUUCCCAAGCCUGUAAAAUGUAAGCCUUAUGCUGCUGAGGGCCAUCUUGCCACCCUGAGGGAAACGCUGCCUGAGAAUGAAACAAGCAUAAGUAAAAGCUGAGCUGUGAGAUGGAGCAAGAUGAAGGCCACAUGACAUCUUUGGAGCACCUGGAUCUAACUGUGCCUUAAGCUAGUCUAACCCUGAACAUUUCAUCAUUUCAUUGACAUGAGCCCAGGUUUUCUUUUUUUUUGGAUGGAGUCUUGCUCUGUCGCCCAGGCUGGAGUGCAGUAGCUCAAUCUCGGCUCACUGCAAGCUCCACCUCCCGGGUUCACGCCAUUCUCCUGCCUUAGCCUCCCAAGUAGCUGGGACAACAGGCGCCCACCACCACUCCCAGCUAAUUUUUUGUAUUUUUAGUAGAGACGGGGUUUUACCAUGUUAGCCGGGAUGGUCUUGAUCUCCUGACCUCAUGAUCCGCCCGCCUCGGCCUCCCAAAGUGCUGGGAUUACAGGUGUGAGCCACUGCACCCAGCCCUCAGGUUUUCCCUUUUUUUACCCCUCCUUUUGAAAAUUUGAUGUGGAAUUUUGCCACCUGCAGCCAGAAGAGUUUUAACUAAUCAGUGCCAUAAAUUUUAUAUAGUUCUCCUUGCAAAAUGUGGAUCAGCCUUUCUCAGCAAAUCCUUUGUCAUAAAGUGCUGAAUUGUAAGUUUGUCAUGAGAAUCACAUGAGAUCAUGCAUGUGAAGAACCUGGCAUUAUCCUCCUCAUAGAAAAAAACCAGUAAAUAUUAACUACAGGAAGCAAGGAAGGAGUGGGGUGAGGGGAAGAAGAAGGGGUACUGAUUUAAAAGAACCCUGGAGUCCUAAGGAUAAUCUAGGAACCCUCAGACCCAAUCCGAUACCCCUAUUCUAAAUGCUCCUAGUGCCCUGUACCUUCCCCUCAUAAGCCUUCAUUAUCAUUGUAAUGAUAUGUUUAUGUAAUAUUUUGAUUAAUGUCUCUCCUUCACUGACCUAGCAGUUCUAGCAGGGCAGUGAUUUUGCUGUGUUGCAUCCCCAGCACCUAGUCUGGUAUGUGGCAUUCAGCAUAUGUUUAUUGAAUGAAUGGCCAUGUGGUUAUUCAGAUCCUCCUUGAUUAUUGGGGUUAGGAUUGUGGCAGAAGUGGCAAAAUCAGGGAGAGUAGUCCCUGUCCCCUCUGUAUCUUAUACACUGCCCACACUCCCAACACACAUACACAUACAGAGAAUUUUGUCUCAAUUAGAUAAUUAACUUCUGCUUGGUUGUAAACCAAACCACUGGUUCUUAAACUUUCAUUGGAUCAUUUUAUUGAAGAAUUAAAUAGUGUGGUUCUGGCCUAAUGUCUGGAAAGCCUUGCAGAGGAGUGGAUUAGGUCUUUGUGAUAAACAGGCAGCCUUCCCUGCUCCUGUGUCUUUAUAAAAUCUAUUUAACUGGAGUAGUCCACCCUCCCUCAGGCUCUUACAGGAAUAUGUUGGAGGCUGUAGGAAGGUGGGAAACCGAGAGGGAAAGGACUGGGCCGCUGGAGACUUCACUCAUUCCCUAGCAAGAAACAAAAGCAGUAAAAGGUGGCCCGAGGACAACCUGAAGCUCACUCCUUCAGCACUUUUGGCUGGAGGUCACUUGUUGGAGCCCCACUCAGAGCUCAGCACACCACCCCACCAGCAGCCUCCUCCUCCCAGCUGAGGCUGCAUUUCAUCCCUUCCCCCAGCCUGCUUUCCCUGAGAUAGGGGAGUGUUUCCCAGGGCCCAUGUGACUUCCACUGGCAAGUGACGAUUACCAAUGGUUUACUAGUCAGUGAAACUACCAAAGGCUUUUGUGCUGUAGUAAUCCUUUUCCUGUUUAAAACUCUGGGGAUUUUCUAAUGUUGCCAAUAGUUUUUCAAGUCAGCAAUUACUGUGUGGAUUAUGUAAUGGCUCGGUAUUAAAAAUAGAAAAGACUGGAGUUUGCAUCUAUUUUAACCAAAUCUUGAAAACAGAGCAAAGGGAGGGGAAGGGUGGAGAGGGAGAGACCAGAGGAGGAGGGAGAAAAAGAGAUCAUGUGACUGGAUAAGACAGCUCACAAUUCACUGUGCCUUUCUCCCACCAUUUGUGGCCCAAGGACCUGUACUCCCUCCUCAGCCUCCUCUAGGGAGGGGUCCUUGAUGAGAAUUCUGAGGACACAAGACCCCUUGUGGAUAUUUCUUAGCUCAGCCUUGGUGUGCUUACCUGCUUCUGACAAGCAAAGUGGCCAAGUAGGGGAGGGAGUUGAAUCUGAUGUCCUCCACUAAGUCCAG
rnacentral:lncRNA from 1 species